rnacentral:rRNA from 1 species
AGUUUGAUCAUGGCUCAGGAUGAACGCUGGCGCGUGCCUAAUACAUGCAAGUCGACGGUAAAGGCUUCCACUCUGUGUUUAAUGAUUUGAACAUAGUGUGGAAGUACACGAGUGGCGGACGGCUGAGUAACGCGUAGGAAUGUACCCCAAAGUGAGGGAUAAGCACCGGAAACGGUGUCUAAUACCGCAUGUGCUCUAAGGAGUAAAGCUUCGGCGCUUUGGGAACGGCCUGCGUAUGAUUAGCUUGUUGGUGAGGUAAUGGCUCACCAAGGCGACGAUCAUUAGCUGGUCUGAGAGGAUGAUCAGCCAGACUGGGACUGAGACACGGCCCAGACUCCUACGGGAGGCAGCAGUAGGGAAUUUUCCACAAUGGGCGAAAGCCUGAUGGAGCAACGCCGCGUGCAGGAUGAAGGCCUUCGGGUUGUAAACUGCUUUUAUAAGUGAAGAUUAUGACGGUAACUUAUGAAUAAGGAUCGGCUAACUCCGUG